AGUGAACGCUGGCGGCGUGCCUAAUACAUGCAAGUCGAACGCGAAAGUCCUUCGGGAUGAGUAAAGUGGCGCACGGGUGAGUAAUACAUGGGAACAUGCCCUUGGAUGGGGAAUAACGUUUGGAAACGAACGCUAAUACCGCAUAAUCUCGCGAGAGUAAAGGUGGCGCCGCAAGGGCUACCGUCCAAGGAUUGGCCCAUGUCCCAUUAGCUAGUUGGCGGGGUAAUGGCCCACCAAGGCAACGAUGGGUAACUGGUCUGAGAGGAUGAUCAGUCACACUGGAACUGAGACACGGUCCAGACUCCUACGGGAGGCAGCAGUAGGGAAUAUUGCACAAUGGGGGAAACCCUGAUGCAGCAACGCCGCGUGAGUGAAGAAGGCCCUUGGGUUGUAAAGCUCUUUAGCGUGGGAAGAAGGUAGAUAUGGCGAAUAAUCAUGUUUGCUGACGGUACCACGAGAAUAAGCACCGGCUAAUUUCGUGCCAGCCGCCGCCGUAA
rnacentral:rRNA from 1 species